rnacentral:lncRNA from 1 species
GUUUGGUACAUAUAUAUAGUCCCUAACUAUUUAUAAGAUGCCCUUAAUCCUCUUCUUAUAAUGAUUAUGACUUUAAUCCUCUUGGUUUAAUUAUCAUUAAGCCAAUAGCGCCUAAGAUUAGGAUUUAGGACCAAGAUUAGAAGUUAAACUAUAAAAACAAGAAUGGUAAUUAUUUUCUCUCUGCAAGUUGAGUAUCACUAGAUGGGUUAAUCUCGAGUCUAUAGAGAAUAAAUUCUUAAUUACCGUAGCUGCA